GUUGAUGUAGGCGAAGGACAUGCGAAAGGUCCGGCGUAGAGGGUAAGACCCCCGUAGUCGAAACGUCAACGGCUCGUUUGAGAGACACCCAAGUAGCACGGGGCCCGAGAAAUCCCGUGUGAAUCUGGCGGGACCACCCGCUAAGCCUAAAUAUUCCCUGGUGACCGAUAGCGGAUAGUACCGUGAGGGAAUGGUGAAAAGUACCGCGGGAGCGGAGUGAAAUAGUACCUGAAACCGUGUGCCUACAAGCCGUGGGAGCGUCGCGCAUCAAGUUUACUUGGUGCGUCGUGACUGCGUGCCUUUUGAAGAAUGAGCCUGCGAGUUUGCGGUGUGUUGCGAGGUUAACCCGUGUGGGGAAGCCGUAGCGAAAGCGAGUCCGAAUAGGGCGAUUCAGUAGCGCGCUCAAGACCCGAAGCGGAGUGAUCUAGCCAUGGGCAGGUUGAAGCGGAGGUAAGACUUCGUGGAGGACCGAACCCACCAGGGUUGAAAACCUGGGGGAUGACCUGUGGUUAGGGGUGAAAGGCCAAUCAAACUCCGUGAUAGCUGGUUCUCCCCGAAAUGCAUUUAGGUGCAGCGUCGUGUGUUUCUUGCCGGAGGUAGAGCACUGGAUAGGCGAUGGGCCCUACCGGGUUACUGACCUUAGCCAAACUCCGAAUGCCGGUAAGUGAGAGCACGGCAGUGAGACUGUGGGGGAUAAGCUCCAUGGUCGAGAGGGAAACAGCCCAGAGCAUCGACUAAGGCCCCUAAGCGUACGCUAAGUGGGAAAGGAUGUGGAGUCGCAGAGACAACCAGGAGGUUGGCUUAGAAGCAGCCACCCUUGAAAGAGUGCGUAAUAGCUCACUGGUCUAGUGAUUCCGCGCCGACAAUGUAGCGGGGCUCAAGCGUACCGCCGAAGUCGUGUCAUUCCAGCAAUAGCCCCAACGGGUGCUGGGAUGGGUAGGGGAGCGUCGUGUGCCGGGUGAAGCUGCAGCGGAAGCUAGUGGUGGACGGUUCACGAGUGAGAAUGCAGGCAUGAGUAGCGAUACACACGUGAGAAACGUGUGCGCCGAUUGACUAAGGGUUCCUGGGUCAAGCUGAUCUGCCCAGGGUAAGUCGGGACCUAAGGCGAGGCCGACAGGCGUAGUCGAUGGAUAACCGGUUGAUAUUCCGGUACCCGCUGUGAAGCGUCAAACAUCGAGCAUCGUGAUGCUAAGGCCGUGAAGCCGUUCCGGACCCUUCGGGGAAUGGAAAGUGGUGGAGCCGCCGGCCCAAGCGGUUAGUAGGUGAGUGAUGGGGUGACGCAGGAAGGUAGUCCAUCCCGGGCGGUGGUUGUCCCGGGGUAAGGGUGUAGGACGUGAUCCAGGUAAAUCCGGAUCGCACAUAGUCUGAGACCUGAUGCCGAGCCGAUUGUGGUGAAGUGGAUGAUCCUAUGCUGUCGAGAAAAGCCUCUAGCGAGUUUCAUGGCGGCCCGUACCCUAAACCGACUCAGGUGGUCAGGUAGAGAAUACCGAGGCGUUCGGGUGAACUAUGGUUAAGGAACUCGGCAAAAUGCCCCCGUAACUUCGGGAGAAGGGGGGCCAUCACCGGUGAGAGGAUUUACUCCUUGAGCUGGGGGUGGCCGCAGAGACCAGCGAGAAGCGACUGUUUACUAAAAACACAGGUCCGUGCGAAGCCGUAAGGCGAUGUAUACGGACUGACGCCUGCCCGGUGCUGGAACGUUAAGGGGACCGGUUAGUCCAACUUCGGUUGGGCGAAGCUGAGAACUUAAGCGCCAGUAAACGGCGGUGGUAACUAUAACCAUCCUAAGGUAGCGAAAUUCCUUGUCGGGUAAGUUCCGACCUGCACGAAUGGCGUAACGACUUCUCGACUGUCUCAACCAUAGGCCCGGUGAAAUUGCACUACGAGUAAAGAUGCUCGUUUCGCGCAGCAGGACGGAAAGACCCCGGGACCUUUACUACAGUUUGAUAUUGGUGUUCGGUUCGGCUUGUGUAGGAUAGCUGGGAGACUGUGAACUCUGGACGCCAGUUCAGGGGGAGUCGUCGUUGAAAUACCAGUCUGGUCGUGCUGGAUGUCUAACCUGGGUCCGUGAUCCGGAUCAGGGACAGUGUCUGAUGGGUAGUUUAACUGGGGCGGUUGCCUCCUAAAGAGUAACGGAGGCGCCCAAAGGUUCCCUCAGCCUGGUUGGCAAUCAGGUGUUGAGUGUAAGUGCACAAGGGAGCUUGACUGUGAGACCGACGGGUCGAGCAGGGACGAAAGUCGGGACUAGUGAUCCGGCGGUGGCUUGUGGAAGCGCCGUCGCUCAACGGAUAAAAGGUACCCCGGGGAUAACAGGCUGAUCUUCCCCAAGAGUCCAUAUCGACGGGAUGGUUUGGCACCUCGAUGUCGGCUCGUCGCAUCCUGGGGCUGGAGUCGGUCCCAAGGGUUGGGCUGUUCGCCCAUUAAAGCGGUACGCGAGCUGGGUUUAGAACGUCGUGAGACAGUUCGGUCCCUAUCCGCUGCGCGCGCAGGAACAUUGAGAAGGGCUGUCCCUAGUACGAGAGGACCGGGACGGACGAACCUCUGGUGUGCCAGUUGUUCUGCCAAGGGCAUGGCUGGUUGGCUACGUUCGGGAGGGAUAACCGCUGAAAGCAUCUAAGCGGGAAGCCUGCUUCGAGAUGAGUGUUCCCACCCCCUUGAGGGGUUAAGGCUCCCAGUAGACGACUGGGUUGAUAGGCCGGAUCUGGAAGCCCAGUAAUGGGUGGAGGUGACCGGUACUAAUAGGCCGAGGGCUUGUCCUC
rnacentral:rRNA from 1 species